GUCAUAGGCCUGGGGUGCCGCGCGGUGGUCGCGCGGCUGAGAACACACCCAUCGAACCUGUCUGGGUAAUUCCAGCGAAGGGAGCCGCCGCAUGAUCCAU
rfam:Azospirillum sp. B510 DNA, complete genome.